GGGACGGCGGCGGGGGCCGAGCCGGGCGCGGGGAGCGGAGCCGGAGCUGGAGCUGGAGCCGGGCGCGGUGAGCGGGGCUGGCCCCGGCGGGGCGGCUGCGGGCAGGCGGUGCCGCGCCGGGCACCGUGUCCCCUCGCUGUCCGGUGCGGUGCGGUGCGGAGCGGGUCUCCCAGCAGGUCCUGGAAGGCGCCGUGCGCGCAGGGAGCAGCGCCCGCCCUGCGCCCCGCACCGCCCGCCCUGCGCCGGGGGAGGCUUCCCAAGGUCUUGCCUUCCGUGUGCCGUAAUCAAGGACAUUUGGUUUUUACACGCGUUUAACCUAGGGGCUUUUCUCAGCAUGCACUCCCUUUAGCGUGAUAACUGACUGCAUUCUGCACAUUGGACAUUUGGCUUACAUCCCCGUAUCUUCCUGCUUUUCCAAAGGAUACAAUCUUACAUUGUCCUGGGCUUGAGCAGUAAAAGAUAAAUUCGAUCACUGGCUGACUUGUCAUCUCUUCAUUGUGAUGGAAAAACAGUCGCCUAAAAUAAACCCUUUGUUAUGCUGCUAAAACCGCCUUUGAAUCCUAGAUCUGUUGUGAUUUAUAAAACACAAACCCAAAAAUGUCAGAACCUGACCCUUCAUCUGGAUUUGUAGGAAACAUGGAAAAUGGGACUUUUCUGGAGCUGUAUCCCACAUCCCUUUCAACUUCAGUGGAUUCAUCACCUGGCCGUUUAUCCAACGUCUAUGUCUAUGUUUCUAUAUUCCUUAGUCUCUUAGCUUUUCUCCUUUUGCUAUUGAUCAUUGCACUUCAGAGGCUGAAAAACAUAAUUUCUUCCAGUUCCUCCUACCCAGAAUAUAAUAGUGAUGCUGGAAGUUCUUUCACUAAUUUAGAGGUUUGUAGUAUUUCUUCCCAGCGCUCUGCUCUCUCAAACCUUUCUUCAUGAAACUAAAUGGAAGGAAACACACGGGGAGUGGAAGUGCUUUGUCUAGUUUCUUGGGGAGGUAGUGCAUGCAACAUUUACCUUAGAAGACUAUUAUGAAGAGGUGGCUUUUAAAGUUUCCUUAGGGUUUUUUUCUUUCCUUUUCCAGUCUUCAUUUCUCUUUUACUAAUGUUUUUUCAUUUUGGACACUGGAUAAUGACACUUCAUUAUCAUUUCUUGCCUGUAAUAGUGAUGCUGUCUUUCUCUCACACCUAUACAGUGUUCAUUAAGAGUAUUCCUGCCAAAUUGUAAUACAGUUCUAACUGGAUGUGUCAUUUUUCAGCUGUAGUUGUGACCCCUUCCCUGGUUUCGCAUCAAUAAUACGCUGAGUACUUUUCUUUCUCCUUUUUUAAUUAGAUAAGGACUUCUGGAUGAAAUCCCUAUUGCAAAAGUAUAAAAAAUCUGCUUAAGUUACAAAUAAUAGGACAAAUUAAAGUUGUUGGUAUUUUUUUAUUUUCACAUCUUUUUCAGUAUUUAUUGAUGUUUAUAAAACAACUAAAAUCCGUUUCUUGAAGAAUGUUGUUUUGUUUAUUUGUACUCCCAACACAUUCUGUAUAAAGUCUCUGUAUUUCAGUUUCUGAGUCUCUUUGGUUAACUUAGUAAAACGACUACAAUAACGAUGCUCA